UGCUCAUGAAAGAGUUGUCACUGAAAGGCCAGCAACAUACUGUAGUCUCUAAAUAAAUGAAUACACUGUAACCUUGUUCUACCAUGAAGGAAUCAAGUUCACAUGACACAUGUGCGUGUCCACACUGAGCUAGGAAGAGCAGCCAAGAUGCUGAUAGACUGUCUCCUCAGACCACUCUGUCUUCUCAUUUGAGGUCCAGUGACUGUAAUGUAGAUAUCUGAACGGAUCCAGUCUAGAGACAGUAACCUAUCCCUAAUCCUGUUCCUGCACACACUGAAGCCACUUUCUUUCUUUUAAAGCAAUCAAGAGCAAAGCUUGUGAAUGUGAAGAAAGGCUGAACCAGAUGAAGCAGCAGCUUGAGUUACUUGCAGAUUUACAACAAAACCUGCGCUCAUUUCAAGAAUGUGGGGUCCUGGAUCCCUCAGGCUCUACUUCAGGGUCCUUGCUACCUCCUGAGGACCACCAGUGCAGAUGCCAGGAGUCUCCUGAAGUGCAAGCAGGCUCAGGAGACAGCCUGUGACAGAUCCAGUCCCCUCCAGCUCUGACCUGCUACUGCUCAGCCAGGCUCCAUACCUGACAGGUUGUUUCUUGGCUCCUCUCUUGUCAUCUCACUUGUCCUGCCUUCUCCUGACAGUAACAGCUGUUCCUCCAGUCAACUGGAUCAGGCCCCCAUGUCCUCUAAGGAGCAGGAAGUCCUCCUACCUACCCUACCCACCCUAGUCAGGGGCAGCCACACCACAGCCUUUGCUCAUCCUUUUGUGGAAUCUUAGAGCUUUCUUCUUGCUUCUGCUACUCCUGCAGUAGGUCUGUGUCAUCAUGGUCUCCUCUCAGUAUUAGUGACUUCAUCAGAAUGGAGCAGAGCCUCACUCCUGUGCAUAGCUCGCUGGUACCCUGGGUUUCUGCUCACUACCACCUUCCCAACAUUGAGCACACUUAAUAAAUGCUUGACAAAACGCUGUGAAGAAUCAACAGUUUCUUUAAUACAGUUCCCAGCAGCCCUCAGCUGUAACAAGACACAGUGCACUAUUCUGUUCUUACAAAUUCUGUGGGUCUCCAUCAGUCUUUUUAGAAGUGUCUUUGUGGGCACAGUCAUUACAAGGGCAAGCUUCAUCUUCAAGACCGAGUCCAGCAUUUCAACUGGGCUCUUUGAAUAAGAGCACCAGGGGAAUAGGGAAUGUGGAGAACGGAGGCUUUCCCCACCUGACAAUAUGCAUCAGAUCUGCGUGCGACACUGCCCCUGGCCCUUGACUCCUCUCACAUUCACAUUUCUAAUUUCCUCCCAUGAUCCUCUGGGUUACAGUAAAGCACCUGUCAGAAUGAAGUUGAGCUGUGUCCUAACAUUGGGUCUAGUUUGUAAUGAGUGCUCACACACACUUGUGUAGGAAUCAUUCCUGUAUAACACUGUGGUGACCAAGGCCAGUCUAAGCCACUUCCUGUCAGAUCAGCUGGAAUGACUGCAGUGUGAGCGUACGUACAUAUGUAUGUAUAUAUGUAUGUAUUUUGCAGACAUAGAGCCAGGUUCAUGAUCAGCUAUGUUUAUUGUACUGUUUCUAGGUGAGCUAACACUUCAUGUUUCCCCCUAGUGUACAGAAAACAUCUUCAGAACAAUUGUCUGUGGUUCCAUCGUGUGAAAAUAAAUGCUCGUGAGAUGUCUAGCACUUCGAACUUUUACCAAUUGUCCUGUGACCCCCACAAGGAUGUCAUGAAAUGUGCACCCUUCCACGUAUAAAGUUAGUUCAACGACACUGCGAACAUUCCAUUAGAUUAUUGGUCAUUAGUCCAAUUUUCACAGCUGUUAUGUCUCGCAAGGAUAGUGGCUGCUACUUUUCAUUUUUAAUGGUUUUUCUAUCUGAGGGUUCAAGUGUCUUAACAGAAAUAAGAUCUUUUGGUGCUGAGUUAGUUGAGAAAUAAGUCGACACAUUCAGAGUGGUACCUUAUUUUUAUUUUAACACUGAUAAUGUUAAUAAUUGUGAUAUAAUGUAGUAACGAAAUUUAAUACCUCAACUCCUUUUGUUCUUUCUCUUUAUCAAGCCUUUUAAAAUACAUAGUUCAAUACAUAAAAUAGUCAAAAUGAAUCCCAAACCACUUCACCUUGCCAAACAGAAACUACACAUCUGUGCUGUCCCAGCACCUGGCAUCUACUCUCUUUCUCCCUCCAGGAACUGAAAUACAUGUUAUUGGUAUUUUUUGUAGGGGGCUAUUUUUUUUUAACUGAAAUCCACAUAUUAAUCAAGUUUAUCCCUUUUUCAGGCUUUACACUACUAAAGGGGAAAACAAGCGCGAGUGUACAAUGUGCCUUAAGACAUUGUUUAUUAGUGUGUCAGUCAAGGAGUUACACAAAUGCAUCCUGAUUACUGAAUAUAAAAUUGGUUCCAGUAACUUCAAGGAUACAGUUGGGCUCUUUUAAGAAAUGUGACUUCUCUGCCUUCCAUUAUUACAUCAGAAGAAAACAUUAAUUUCAAGAAGUUUUUUGUUUAUAUGAUUAUAACCAAAACCAAGUAGAAAAAUAAAAAGAUUGCAUUAAAAAAAUACGCAAACCCCUUUUAAAGGACUUUUCUUACACACACACACACACACACACACACACACAUACACACACACACACGCACACGCACACUCUCACACUCACUCUCUAGCUGUUCAGCGGGAUCAGGAAGUCCGUAUGUCUGUCAGGUAAACUACCUGUCGAUGUGGAUUUGCAGCUGUGAUUUGUGCUUUUCCCAUGGAGAAGUUUUUCAAGUGAGACCACCGGUGACUUUCCUAAAGAUACUGCUUCGAGGCCCUAAGUCACAGAACUGUGGUUCUACAGAUGAUCUACCACAGCAAAUCACGUAAUGUCCACUCCAUCCUGGUCAGGAAAGUGUCACUGAGGAGGCAGGGGCACGAUCAGGAAGAAGGCCUUUAAGCUGUAGUUCGUAUUCAUCCUGCCUGUCAUCACACCUGCCUGGCUUUGGUGCCUCAGUCACCAUCCACCCUGAUACAAUCUUUGACAAAUGACCUUUCAGGAAAAGAAUUGCUAUGGAGCCCUAGCUUAGUGUAUGACAAAAGUAUUCCUAACACAAUUAAAGAAAGGAAAAGCCGAAAGUAGAGAGGUGAAGGUGAAGCUUCAAUUAGGUUUUGAUGGAAUUUGGCCUAGGCUCCUCCCACCACCUAAAACUAUGAGCAUUCUAUGGCGUCCUGUACGAGGGGUGGCUUUAGCAAUCACAUCAAGUCAGAAAAGAACAGCCACGCAGAGUGUGUUUGUGAGUAAUUAUAAAGGGUACGAUAGUGUGCACCCUGUUUGCCAUUGCACCCUAGUGAAGCACUGUUGGGCAAUCAGGGGAGACUCUAAUUUCUGUCACCUUCUUCCUUCCUGAAAAAAGCUUCUUUACCACCAGCUUUUCACGUUACUUCCCUAUAGGUACUAAUUCUUUCUUCUUCUUCCUCUUUGUGGUGUCUGUGUGUAGACAUGGUACACCUCCAACAGUGAGAGGACAACUGUAAGUCCGCUGUCUCUCUCCACCAUGUGUGUCCUGGGCAUGAGGUUAAGUCCUCAUGCUUAGUGACAGAGCCUUUACCUGCUGAGCCAUCUACAGCCCUACAUGCCUAUGCAUUAAGAGCAUCUCAGAAACCUAACCAUUCCUUGACUGUCUAGGUGGUUGAAUGUGUAUAGAAUAUUCUUUAUGACCCCCACUAUGACCCCCCCAGUGCUGAUGCCCCCACAGGAGGUUGGUGAGUGUGAGCAGCGCUCAGGAAGCACCCGACAGGGCCUCCUCCACAGACGGUGUGGAAGGGCCUGUGGCCCAAGUCCAAAACACCCUUUCAUAAAGUUAAAAGAACAAAAGCAUGUAAACUGCCAUCCUUUCCCAAUGUUCAUCAAACGUAAGAACAAUCACAUGUAAAAUGUACAUAUCUACAAACAAGCGAUGUAAAAAGAGACUCACAAGAACCAAUGUCCUUCAUGCAUUCCUACAGCACACUGUGUCGGGGCUUUACCUGCAGAGUCACCUCACCCAGCGCCUCAGAGCGCCCACACCCAGCCCAGCAGCCUUGGCCUCAAUUCUUAAAGGCUCCACAUUUACUGGCUUUAGCAAUGAACUCCUUUAGCAGGGGACCAUCCAUUUGCCAGAACGCAGCAGUCUGGGUAACUUCUGUCAAAUGAUUGAUGCAAAACUUAAAGCAGAAUUCUUCUAAAUCCUAGACACAUACAACAAAAACAAGAACAGGAAGAGGCCUUUGUUUAUUAACUGUGAACUGUUCUUCUGCUAAUCCCUCAUCCCAACUCUCUCACCCUUCCCAGAAGAGAUACUAGAGACCAGAUACCUUAAACCAUGUUCUCAGAAAAUCCCCUGGCAUCUACUCACAGCAGAGUAAAAGUAAGGCUUCCCUAACUCGUGUGACACACACACGCAUACUAAACCAUACAGGGCUGCCAUAGCUGGCACACACUGCAAUUAACUCGAAUCGAGGUGCAGAGUCAAUGCGAUGUUAGUGUAUAUGUAUUUCGUUACAUUUAAGAAAGCAGAAAAUUCAGACAUGGGCUAGUUAAAUGAAUAGGUUUAUGGAAGUAGAUGAAAGGAAGCAUGUAGUCUACCUAGAAUGAUAUUAAAAAAAAA
rnacentral:sRNA from 1 species